UACAACACUAGCAGGUUCUAAAGAUAUAUGCAUAUCUGCUCACCAGAUGGAAGGCAGGACUCUGUAACAGAUAGGAGACAAGUCUGGAUUAGAAUCCCAGCUCUGCUACCUGCUCUGUGUCCUUGGCUAAGACUCAGUUUUUCCCUCAAUUGUAUGCUUCUGCCAUGAUUGCUUCCUGGGACCUCCUCAGCCCUGUGGAACUGACCCAAUCCUGCACUGUGUGGGGUUAGGUGCAGCUGGACAAUGCGAAACUGGACAUAACCAAGGAGGUAAAAGAAUGCAGUUUCUCCUUCUCUUAAGAUCUCUGUGUCAGACUCCUCACCUAAGAAAAAUUUGAAUGAACAAUAUUUCAAAAGUUUGUGUAAAUGAUUGAGUAGACAAUAUGUGUGAUAAGUCAAGUUUAGAAAUUUACUGUAUACACCAAGGGUCCCCAAUGGGGAACCUGUUAGGAACUG
rnacentral:lncRNA from 1 species